rnacentral:rRNA from 1 species
UCGAACGAGACAAAAGAGAAGUGCUUGCACGGAUCUUUUAGAAAGUGGCGAACGGGUGAGUAACGCGUGGGUAACCUACCCUAUGGAAAGGAAUAGCCUCGGGAAACUGGGAGUAAUGCCUUAUAAGAUAUAUUUGUCGCAUGGCAGAUGUAUUAAACGCUCCGGUGCCAUAGGAUGGACCCGCGUCCCAUUAGCUAGUUGGUGAGAUAACAGCUCACCAAGGCGACGAUGGGUAACCGGUCUGAGAGGGCGAACGGUCACACUGGAACUGAGACACGGUCCAGACUCCUACGGGAGGCAGCAGUGGGGAAUAUUGCGCAAUGGGGGAAACCCUGACGCAGCAAUACCGCGUGAGUGAAGAAGGUUUUCGGAUCGUAAAGCUCUGUUAUUGGGGAAGAAAAAAAGACGGUACCCAAGAAGAAAGUCCCGGCUAACUACGUGCCA